GACCAAAUAUUUUGAUGUCUUGACAAGAACAAUCUCCAAUGUUCAUCGUUUGCGCACGAAAAAGAAUCUACAAGAUAUAACACAUUAGCAAAUUAUACAAAAUUCAUCAAAACUAAACCAUUAGAGAACGAACAAUACCAAUAAUGUGCUAAUUGCACAAGUCCUCAACCUAAUUGUUUGCUUGCGUGGAUAGUGCCGACGAGGACGACCCACCGUCUAAUCAAGCGGGAGAUGAAUUUUAACCGGCACUAGAGGAUCUGCCACCUGUUUGCCCGCGCUUGCGCUUCCCGUCCUGACAGUCGGCUGUGGUAGUCAUGGACGAGGCCUGGCCACAAUCGCUCUUGUGAUCUUGCCGGCGAGGGUGAUCCGGCACUUCGCGUCAGAGGCGCAGUCGCGCAAGAGUGGUGGUUAGGGCCAGCCGGCCAGGUUGUGUCUCGCGAGUAUCGUUUUCACGCACACAAACAGGCUAGAUGAGAGGCUGAUAGAUCGAUUCAUAUUCGUGCUAUUCUUCUCAUGACCUACCAUGGCCUGCUGUAGCCCAUGUACAGAGUUG
rnacentral:lncRNA from 1 species